AUUACAGGUAAGAAACGUACCCUCGUGAGGGUGCCUGACGGUACUGUAGGAAUAAGCACCGGCUAACUCCGUGCCAGCAGCCGCGGUAAUACGGAGGGUGCGAGCGUUAUCCGGAUUUAUUGGGUUUAAAGGUCCGUAGGCGGAUUAAUAAGUCAGUGGUGAAAUCCCAUCGCUUAACGAUGGAACUGCCAUUGAUACUGUUAGUCUUGAAUGAGGGUGCAGUGGUUGGAAUGUGUAGUGUAGCGGUGAAAUGCAUAGAUAUUACACAGAACACCGAUUGCGAAGGCAGAUCACUAACCCUAAAUUGACGCUGAGGGACGAAAGCGUGGGGAGCGAACAGGAUUAGAUACCCUGGUAG
rnacentral:rRNA from 1 species